AACUAACGCUGGCGGCGUGCCUAACACAUGCAAGUCGUACGAGAAAGCCGGCUUCGGCUGGUGAGUAAAGUGGCGCACGGGUGAGUAACGCGUGGAUAAUCUGCCCUUAAGUGUGGAAUAACGUACCGAAAGGUGCGCUAAUACCGCAUAAUGCCUGGCAACACAAGUUGUCCGGCCAAAGAAGGCCUCUGUUUACAAGCUUUCGCUUCAGGAUGAGUCCGCGUACCAUUAGCUUGUUGGUGGGGUAAUGGCCUACCAAGGCUGCGAUGGUUAGCUGGUCUGAGAGGAUGAUCAGCCACACUGGAACUGAGACACGGUCCAGACUCCUACGGGAGGCAGCAGUGAGGAAUAUUGCGCAAUGGGGGCAACCCUGACGCAGCAACGCCGCGUGAGUGAGGAAGGUUUUCGGACCGUAAAGCUCUGUCGAGCGGGAAGAAAUGCAUAGUGGCUAAUAUCCAUUAUGCUUGACGGUACCGCUAAAGG
rnacentral:rRNA from 1 species